GUCCCUUAGAGGUCAUUCCCUUCCAGGCUCUGGAUACAUAGAUCUCUUCUAUGGACACAUAGACACACAGAUCCUGUCCUGAAGAAGUAUACACCAUGGAAAGGUGACACCACAGGUUGUUAUCCUGGAGCACACAGUGGAAGGGGAGACAGAGGAGGACAAUGACUUGUCUUAAGUGGUCAAGAAAGACUUCGUGGAGAAGUUGAUAAAGAAGCUACCCCGUGAAAGGGACCAGAAGGCCAAGGGAGUGUUUCAGCCUGUACAGUGCUUACCUUGAAGGCAUGAAGACCUAAGGCUCUGGACAUGGUGGUAGAGGUAGACACUCGGCAUGGGAGAAACAAAGACAGGCAGAUCUUGGGGGCUUGGGUCCAGCCAGCCUAACUCAUUUGGUGGGCUCCAGAUCAGUGGUAAAUCCUGUCUCAAAAAACCAAAGUGGAUGAUAUCCCAAGAAAUGGAUCCCAAAGUUGACCUCUUGCUUCCACACACAUGUUCACACCCACGUACAUAUGUAUACCCCCUCCAGCACACAUACAGAUGCAUCACACAUACACUAACCAUCCUCUGGCUCCUCUGGACAUCCCUUCAGACAUCCUGGCAGAUAUACCCUGAGACAAAGGUGUAGGGACAGUGGAGAGAAUUCUGUGCCUGUUUAGAGAGGACCUGAGUUGCGUUAGGAGCUGAAGGGAAAGUGGUGGGCCCAGGAGGGGUCUGGAACAACAUGCCAAGGACUUUUUGCAGGCCCUGGGACCUUAGGGAGGCUGCAGAGAUAAGAACACUGUUGGACUUUUGGAGUAGAGCCAUCUUCUUGGCCAAGAGCAAGUUGGAAAGAUAGAGACUGGAGCCAGAGGCCAGCAGCUGCCAGAUAGCAAGUGCAGAAUAAAAGGACACACUGGAGAGGUUGGAAGUACUGUCCUCUAAGAGACUAGUGCGCCUUGGGGAUGCCAUUGCAGGAGAGCAGGCAGCAUCAGAGACAAUAAGCUUGGGUGGACCAGUGUGAAAGAGGCAGCCUGUGUGGGUGAAGAAGGGGG
rnacentral:lncRNA from 1 species